GACAGAGGAUGCAAGCGUUUAUCCGGAAUGAUUGGGCGUAAAGCGUCUGUAGGUGGCUUUUUAAGUCCGCCGUCAAAUCCCCAGGGCUCAACCCUGGACAGGCGGUGGAAACUACCAAGCUGGAGUACGGGUAGGGGCAGAGGGAAUUUCCGGUGGAGCGGUGAAAUGCGUAGAUAUCAGGAGGAACACCGAUGGCGAAGGCAGGUCUCUGGGCUGACACUGACGCUCAUGCACGAAAGCGUGGGGAGCAAACAGG
rnacentral:rRNA from 1 species